rnacentral:rRNA from 1 species
GACGAACGCUGGCGGCGUGCUUAACACAUGCAAGUCGAGCGGUAAGGCUCCUUCGGGAGUACACGAGCGGCGAACGGGUGAGUAACACGUGAGCAAUCUGCCCUUCACUUUGGGAUAACUUCCGGAAACGGAAGCUAAUACCGAAUACGACCACUUCAGGCAUCUGAUGGUGGUGGAAAGUUCCGGCGGUGAAGGAUGAGCUCGCGGCCUAUCAGCUUGUUGGUGAGGUAACGGCUCACCAAGGCUUCGACGGGUAGCCGGCCUGAGAGGGUGACCGGCCACACUGGGACAGAGACACGGCCCAGACUCCUACGGGCGGCAGCAGUGGGGAAUAUUGGACGAUGGGCGAAAGCCUGAUCCAGCAACGCCGCGUGAGGGAUGACUGCCUUCGGGUUGUAAACCUCUUUCAGCGGGGACGAAGCGAAAGUGACGGUACCCGCAGAAGAAGCACCGGCCAACUACGUGCCAGCCGCCGCGGUAA